rnacentral:misc_RNA from 1 species
GAUGAAGAACGUAGCGAAAUGCGAUAAGUAAUGUGAAUUGCAGAAUUCAGUGAAUCAUCGAAUCUUUGAACGCACAUUGCGCCCGCCAGCACUCUGGCGGGCAUGCCUGUUCGAGCGUCAUUUCAACCAUCAAGCCCCCAGGGGCUUGUGCUGGGGCCCUGCGGCUGCCCGCAGGCCCUGAAAACCAGUGGCGGGCUCGCUAGUCACACCGAGCGCAGUAGCACAUCUCGCUCAGGGCGUGCGGCGGGCUCCUGCCGUGAAACCCCCCACUGUAACCCCAAAGGUUGACUUCGGAUCAGGUAGGAAUACCCGCUGAACUUAAGCAUAUCAAUAAGCGGAGGA